ensembl:snoRNA Small nucleolar RNA SNORA47
UGGAGGACUGAGAAGGUUGAACAGCUGCUUCUGUGCUGUUAUAACUGGUUAUAGCCUCCAAGAGUAGUAAACAAACCACAUAAU